CGGGACGGGUGAGUAACGCGUGGGUAACCUGCCUUGUACUGGGGGAUAGCAGCUGGAAACGGCUGGUAAUACCGCAUAAGCGCACAAUGUUGCAUGACAUGGUGNGAAAAACUCCGGUGGUAUAAGAUGGACCCGCGUCUGAUUAGCUAGUUGGUGAGAUAACAGCCCACCAAGGCAACGAUCGGUAGCCGGACUGAGAGGUUGAACGGCCACAUUGGGACUGAGACACGGCCCAGACUCCUACGGGAGGCAGCAUG
rnacentral:rRNA from 1 species